AAAAUGCACACUUAUCAAAACACCAAACUUAGUCUUUGCUUGCCCUCAAGCAAACAAUUAAGAACAAGCUGGAGGUGAGGUUUGAAACCGGGGACUCAGAGCCAAAACACCAGAUAAAUAAGA
rnacentral:sRNA from 1 species